AUAAAAUAGUGUUUACACAUUGGAAAACUGAACAAUACAGAGAAGGUUAGCAUAGGCCUAGCCCAAGGAUGACAGGCAAAUUUGUGAAGUGUUCCAUAAAUAU